rnacentral:rRNA from 1 species
GUUGAACGCUGGCGGCAGGCCUAACACAUGCAAGUCGAGCGGCAGCGGAAAGUAGCUUGCUACUUUGCCGGCGAGCGGCGGACGGGUGAGUAAUGUCUGGGAAACUGCAUGAUGGAGGGGGAUAACUACUGGAGACGGUAGCUAAUACCGCAUAGCGUCGCAAGACCAAAGCGGGGGACCUUCGGGCCUCGUGCCAUCAGAUGUGCCCAGAUGGGAUUAGCUAGUAGGUGGGGUAACGGCUCACCUAGGCGACGAUCCCUAGCUGGUCUGAGAGGAUGAACGGCCACACUGGGACUGAGACACGGUCCAGACUCCUACGGGAGGCAGCAGUGGGGAAUAUUGCACAAUGGGCGCAAGCCUGAUGCAGCCAUGCCGCGUGUAUGAAGAAGGCCUUCGGGUUGUAAAGUACUUUCAGCGGGGAGGAGGGUGUUGAGGUUAAUAACCUCAGCAAUUGACGUUACCCGCAGAAGAAGCACCGGCUAACUCCGUGCCAGCCGCCGCAGUAAAAC